rnacentral:rRNA from 1 species
GAGUUUGAUCCUGGCUCAGAACGAACGCUGGCGGCGUGCCUAACACAUGCAAGUCGAACGUGAUCCAGAGCUUGCUCUGGUGAAAGUGGCGCACGGGUGAGUAACGCGUGGAUAACCUACCCUGGUAUCCGGGAUAACAUUCCGAAAGGGGUGCUAAUACCGGAUAAGCCCACGGGCUCUUUGGAGCUUGCGGGAAAAGGUGGCCUCUAUUAUAAGCUACUGUAUCAGGAUGGGUCCGCGUACCAUUAGCUAGUUGGCGGUGUAACGGACCACCAAGGCGACGAUGGUUAGCUGGUCUGAGAGGAUGAUCAGCCACACUGGAACUGAGACACGGUCCAGACUCCUACGGGAGGCAGCAGUGGGGAAUUUUGCGCAAUGGGGGAAACCCUGACGCAGCAACGCCGCGUGAGUGAUGAAGGCCUUUGGGUCGUAAAGCUCUGUCAGAGGGGAAGAAAUGAUAUAGUGCUAAUACCACUUUAUCUUGACGGUACCCUCAAAGGAAGCACCGGCUAACUCCGUGCCAGCAGCCGCGGUAAUAC